CUACGGCCGUACCAUACUGAAUAUACCGGUUCUCGUUAGAUCACCGAAGUCAAGCAGCAUUGGGCGCGGUCAGUACUUGGGUGGGUGACCACCUGGGAACACUGCGUGCCGUU
rnacentral:rRNA from 1 species